UGGGGAAUCUUGCGCAAUGGGCGAAAGCCUGACGCAGCAACGCCGCGUGAGUGAAGAAGGCCUUUGGGUUGUAAAGCUCUUUCGACUGGGAAGAAGGGCUCACUUGUGAAUAAUUAGUGAGUUUGACGGUACCAGGAGAAGAAGUCCCGGCUAACUUCGUGCCAGCAGCCGCGGUAAUACGAAGGGGACAAGCGUUGUUCGGAAUUAUUGGGCGUAAAGGGCGCGUAGGCGGACUUGUAAGUCGAUUGUGAAAUCCCUGGGCUUAACCCGGGAACUGCAGUCGAAACUGCAAGUCUUGAAUGCUCGAGAGGAUGGUAGAAUUCCUGGUGUAGAGGUGAAAUUCGUAGAUAUCAGGAGGAAUACCGGAGGCGAAAGCGGCCAUCUGGCGAGACAUUGACGCUGAGGCGCGAAAGCGUGGGGAUCAAACAGG
rnacentral:rRNA from 1 species